UUGCUCACCUGCCAGGGAGAUGGCAGGGCCAAGAGGACAGCUUUCUCAGGGUAAGGCCUGUCUCCUGCAGACUGAUGUGCUAACCCUGUGAUUUUCUCACAUACAGAGAGUUCAACUGCAUAAAUUUCUGGUAGUGGGGGUGGGGACUAUAUUCAUGUUCUCCUCUG